rnacentral:lncRNA from 1 species
CCAUGAACUUUCCAAGUAGUGGCCUCUGCUUUGCGGGACUUGUAUCCAUGAUUGACCCUCCCCGGGCCACCGUUCCAGAUGCUGUGCUCAAAUGCCGUACGGCAGGCAUCCGGGUGAUCAUGGUGACUGGUGACCAUCCCAUCACAGCCAAGGCCAUUGCAGCCAGUGUGGGGAUCAUCUCGGAAGGCAGCGAGACAGUGGAAGACAUCGCCGCCCGCCUCCGAAUGCCUGUAGACCAGGUUAAUAAGAAGGAUGCCCGGGCCUGUGUGAUCAAUGGCAUGCAGUUGAAGGACAUGGACCCAUCUGAGCUGGUGGAGGCGCUGCGCACCCACCCUGAGAUGGUGUUUGCUCGAACCAGUCCUCAGCAGAAGCUGGUGAUUGUGGAGAGCUGUCAGCGACUGGGUGCCAUUGUGGCUGUAACAGGGGAUGGUGUGAAUGACUCCCCAGCCCUGAAGAAGGCUGACAUUGGUGUAGCCAUGGGCAUUGCUGGCUCCGAUGCUGCUAAAAAUGCUGCUGACAUGAUCUUGCUGGAUGACAACUUCGCUUCCAUUGUGACGGGCGUGGAGCAGGGCCGACUGAUCUUUGACAACCUGAAGAAAUCCAUCGCCUAUACACUGACCAAGAACAUUCCAGAACUGACACCCUACCUUAU